GUCGUAACAAGGUUUCCGUAGGUGAACCUGCGGAAGGAUCAUUACUGAUGAUCGUCCGCGAGUGACCAACCAUGGGCUGCCUUCGGUGUAGCUCGGUCGCUCGCUUGCUAUGUGUCAGAAUUUGUUGAAAGCCAACUCGUUCGUUGUACACUUUGAUGGGUGACCAUCACUGUGUCUCCGUGCCGAGCUAGAUCUCCCCUAGCCGUAAGGCACUUGAACGCCCCUUCGACGACGAGUUGCAUGUGUGUGGUAUGUGUCAGAAUCUGGUGAAGCUUUCUGCAUGUGAUGUGCCUUGUGUGGAUCCGUGGCCAUUGCAUUGUGUCUGGUGCUUAGAUACCCAGACACUUAGAACGCUUGCGCGGAAAGCAAACUCGAUCGUUGUACACUUUGAUGGGUGACCAUCACUGUGUCUCCGUGCCGUGCUAGAUCCCCCCUAGCCGUAAGGCACUUUGAACGCCCCUUCGACGACGAGUUACAAGAGUGUGGUAUGUGUCAGAAUCUGGUGAAGCUUUCUGCAUGUGAUGUGCCUUGUGUGGAUCCGUGGCCAUUGCAUUGUGUCUGGUGUGUAGGUACCCAGACACUUAAGCAAACUCGAUCGUUGUACACUUUGAUGGGCGAGCAUCACUGUGUAUCCGUGCCGUGUAAGAGCUCCCCUGGCCAUCAGGCACUUGAAAGGUCCUUCGACGACGAGUUACAAUAGUGGUGUGUUAGAUACGUCAGAUUACGGUGUCUACUAGUGUGCAAUACGUAUCCGGCUACGGCACGGAACGAACGGGAACUGUGGUGCAGACAAACAAGAGUUAAGCCUAUUAGUCAUUAACUCUAAGGACGGGGCCAUGGGGCGGUACACAAAGGAUACGGAUGAGCGAGUAUGCAGGCCCAAUACUCAAUAGCUCGAUCCGAUCCAAGCACAUGAGUUGACUGCGGCGUCAGGUUAACCAAUGUGCUAGAUUCUAUUUGGCCAGUAGAAUCUUGUGUCUUACGCGAUUUGAUACCAAGACACCAGAACGAAAGUUAGUUGAAGAGUUAUUAAACUCUUAUGAAGUAUGGUUGUGCAAUCACAACUUAUGACUUUAACCUAUAAAGUGGAUAUGGACUUGCAAUUAUAACAUGGAAUCUCUACACACCCCAUGAGCUCGAUCCAAUCCACGCACA